UACGUAGGGUGCGAGCGUUGUCCGGAAUUAUUGGGCGUAAAGAGCUCGUAGGCGGUUUGUUGCGUCGGCUGUGAAAACCUGCGGCUUAACUGUGGGCUUGCAGUCGAUACGGGCAGACUUGAGUUCGGCAGGGGAGACUGGAAUUCCUGGUGUAGCGGUGAAAUGCGCAGAUAUCAGGAGGAACACCGGUGGCGAAGGCGGGUCUCUGGGCCGAUACUGACGUGGAGGAGCGAAAGCGUGGGGAGCGAACAGG
rnacentral:rRNA from 1 species